GUGAGGAAUAUUGAGCAAUGGGCGCAAGCCUGACUCAGCAACGCCGCGUGGAUGAUGACGGCCUUCGGGUUGUAAAAUCCUUUUCUGAGGGAAGAUAAUGACGGUACCUCAGGAAUAAGUUCCGGCUAACUACGUGCCAGCAGCCGCGGUAAAACGUAGGGGACAAGCGUUAUCCGGAUUUACUGGGCGUAAAGCGCAUGUAGGUGGCUUGCCAAGUUGGACGUGAAAGCUCCCGGCUUAACUGGGAGAGGUCGUUCAAAACUGGUCGGCUUGAGGUUGGAAGAGGAGAGCAGAAUUCCCGGUGUAGUGGUGGAAUGCGUAGAUAUCGGGAGGAAUACCAGUGGCGAAAGCGGCUCUCUGGUUCAAUACUGACACUGAGAUGCGAAAGCGUGGGGAGCGAACGGGAUUAGAUACCCCUGUAGUCC
rnacentral:rRNA from 1 species